GGUCAGUGAUGAAAUGUAAAAGGUCUGAUUACCCACAAUCCCCUCCUACUGCCAUCUGGCUCCCAGCAGCCCCUGCUCUCUCUUCCAUCAUUGCUAUAGUGGGCAGUAGGUGGUCCCAGGAGCUGCUGACACACGGGAUGUAACGUCACAGUGUGAGUCUGUACAGAGAUCAGAUAGACUCAGAGUGAUGACUGACAUCCAACAGAACCAAUCAGCAAGGAGCGUCAGGCUGAGGAGGAGGAGGGAACUGAUCUCAAGUUUUCAAGCUGAGACC